rnacentral:rRNA from 1 species
GACGGAGGAUGCAAGCGUUAUCCGGAAUGAUUGGGCGUAAAGCGUCCGCAGGUGGCAGUUCAAGUCUGCUGUCAAAGACCGGGGCUUAACUUCGGAAAGGCAGUGGAAACUGAACAGCUAGAGUAUGGUAGGGGCAGAGGGAGUUCCUGGUGUAGCGGUGAAAUGCGUAGAGAUCAGGAAGAACAUCGGUGGCGAAGGCGCUCUGCUGGACCAUAACUGACACUCAGGGACGAAAGCUAGGGGAGCGAAUGGG